rnacentral:rRNA from 1 species
UACGUAGGGGGCAAGCGUUGUCCGGAUUUAUUGGGCGUAAAGAGCGUGUAGGCGGCCAGGUAGGUCCGUUGUGAAAACUCGAGGCUCAACCUCGAGACGCCGAUGGAAACCAUCUGGCUAGAGUCCGGAAGAGGAGAGUGGAAUUCCUGGUGUAGCGGUGAAAUGCGCAGAUAUCAGGAAGAACACCAAUGGCGAAGGCAGCUCUCUGGGACGGUACUGACGCUGAGACGCGAAAGCGUGGGGAGCGAACAGG